GACGUAGGUGGCGAACGUUAUCCGGAAUUAUUGGGCGUAAAGGGUGCGUAGGCGGCAUAAUAAGUUAUUGGCGGGAAAUCGAGGCUCAACCUCGUGGAAACUGAUAAUACUGUUUUGCUUGAGUACAGGAGAGGUUAACGGAACUCCAUGUGGAGCGGUAAAAUGUGUAGAUAUAUGGAAGAACAUCAAUAACGGGCGAAGGCAGU
rnacentral:rRNA from 1 species